GUGGGCGCGAUCCAAAGGCAACAGGGAUGAGAAGAGGCCCCGACGAGUUUCCCAGCCUCUUCCUGUCUCCUAGGAGGUCUUCAGCCUCAAGGCUGGGCUUAGAGACCCCCCUUAGGCAGCAGAGGCUAUACCAGCAGAGGCCGGGAACAGCCGGGCAUGCGCCAUUGAUCCUGAGGGUGCAGGAGAAGAGCCUGGAAGGGGCUGUCAGAGGUGGGCACGGGCAUCUGGGCUUUGGAGAGGCCAGCGGUGGGCGAGGGCGAGGGCAAGGGCAGGGCAGCAGGAACCAGGAACAGCAAGCAUUGACUGGUGCUAAUUGAAUUGCCAAUACGCUGGCUGGAGUUAAGUGCUGGAGGGGCCCAGAUCAAUAGCUAACGAUCCUGGCGCAAGGCUGAAUGGAGUUAAGGAACUUUUAACACUUUAAUUAGGCUGCCACCGAAAAUAAAUUCCUACACAUCUGUCAA
rnacentral:lncRNA from 1 species